GAUGAACGCUGGCGGCAUGCCUUACACAUGCAAGUCGAACGGUAACAGGUCUUCGGAUGCUGACGAGUGGCGAACGGGUGAGUAAUACAUCGGAACGUGCCUAGUAGUGGGGGAUAACUACUCGAAAGAGUGGCUAAUACCGCAUGAGAUCUACGGAUGAAAGCAGGGGAUCGCAAGACCUUGUGCUACUAGAGCGGCCGAUGGCAGAUGAGGUAGUUGGUGGGAUAAAAGCUUACCAAGCCGCAGAUCUCUGGCUGGUCUGAGGGGACGAUCAGCCACACUGGGACUGAGACACGGCCCAGACUCCUACGGGAGGCAGCAGUGGGGAAUUUUGGACAAUGGGCGAAAGCCUGAUCCAGCAAUGCCGCGAGCAGGAUGAAGGCCUUCGGGUUGUAAACUGCUUUUGUACGGAACGAAAAGCCCCGGGUUAAUACCCUGGGGUCAUGACGGUACCGUAAGAAUAAGCACCGGCUAACUACGUGCCAGCAGCCGCAGUAAAAC
rnacentral:rRNA from 1 species